rnacentral:rRNA from 1 species
AGUGAACGCUGGCGGUAGGCCUAACACAUGCAAGUCGAACGGCAGCACAGUAAGAGCUUGCUCUUACGGGUGGCGAGUGGCGGACGGGUGAGGAAUACAUCGGAAUCUACUUUUUCGUGGGGGAUAACGUAGGGAAACUUACGCUAAUACCGCAUACGACCUACGGGUGAAAGCAGGGGAUCUUCGGACCUUGCGCGAUUGAAUGAGCCGAUGUCGGAUUAGCUAGUUGGCGGGGUAAAGGCCCACCAAGGCGACGAUCCGUAGCUGGUCUGAGAGGAUGGAGAGGCCAAGGGGGAAAGGAGAGCGGGCCCAGCCCCCACGGGGAGGCAACAUGGGGGAUUUUUGGAAAAGGGGGGCAAGCCUGAACCCCCCAUCGCGGGGGGGGAAAAAAGGCUUUUGGGUUGUAAGGCCCUUUUGUGGGGAAAAAAAAGCAACAGGUUAAAACCCCGCUGUUCGGAGGGAACCAAAAGAAAAAGCACCGGCUAACUUCGU